GCGCAUGCAGGUGGUUUGUUAAGUCAGAUGUGAAAGCCCGGGGCUCAACCUCGGAAUUGCAUUUUGAAAACUGGCAAACUAGAGUACUGUAGAGGGGGGUAGAAUUUCAGGUGUAGCGGUGAAAUGCGUAGAGAUCUGAAGGAAUACCGGUGGCGAAGGCGGCCCCCUGGACAGAUACUGACACUCAGAUGCGAAAGCGUGGGGAGCAAACAGGAUUAGAUACCCUGGUAG
rnacentral:rRNA from 1 species